rnacentral:rRNA from 1 species
UGAGGAAUAUUGCGCAAUGGGGGCAACCCUGACGCAGCGACGCCGCGUGAGUGAGGAAGGCCUUCGGGUCGUAAAGCUCUGUCAGCAGGGAAGAAGUGCAUGGUGGCUAAUAUCCAUUGUGUUUGACGGUACCUGCAAAGGAAGCACCGGCUAACUCCGUGCCAGCAGCCGCGGUAAUACGGAGGGUGCGAGCGUUGUUCGGAAUCACUGGGCGUAAAGGGCGCGCAGGCGGUUUUAUAAGUCAGAUGUGAAAGCCCACGGCUUAACUGUGGAAGUGCAUUUGAAACUGUAAGACUUGAGUACCAGAGGGGAAGGUGGAAUUCCCGGUGUAGAGGUGAAAUUCGUAGAUAUCGGGAGGAAUACCGGUGGCGAAGGCGACCUUCUGGCUGGAUACUGACGC